CAUAAAGCCAUGAGGUUGCUUCUGGAAGGCUGAAAUUGCGCCAAAAAAAUUGUGAGAUGUUCGUGCUGUUUAGCAGCAGCUGGCUUGCUUGGAAUAUCUGUCCAGCUCAAAAAUGGCUCCAGCGGUUAGAAACAGGUGUUGGAUGGCAGAAUGGUUUUAUGGAAACUUCAAGCAAUAUGACAGCUUAAUUUUCUUCCACAAGGCUGUGAGACCAGGUUGCAGGUGAUGCUAAAGUUAUCAGAUCUACAGCACCAGGUGACAUACAGCCAACACUUACAGUGUCUACUUCAUUGUCAAAAGAAAUGUUUUUGUGCCUCCUUUGUUAAACCAGAUGUAACAAUGUGAAGCGAGAGGCCAUAAUAUACAGAGGUCUUCAACUGCGUCUGCUGACAUCCAGGCUGCAAGUUGGUUAUCCAGUCAAGCUGCUGUUUGCUGCAUGAAAAGGACACCUCUGCUGCUCAAGAUCUGCUACGUCAUUCUGCUGAACAAGAUGAGACUUUGCUGGGCACCAUUCAAGUAUGACAAGGAUUCAACCAGAUUCAUCCGUCCUCAGACGUGUUCAGAAUGCUACGUUGAUAUAUAUGUAUAAUGUUGGAUUAUUAUUAUUCUGUAUAAAGUUAUAAUUCGUAGUAUGGUAAAUGAACACAUUGAAUUCUGUGUCUGCUGAAGUGUUCACGGAUAGUGAGAGUAGAGUGCGGCUGCUCUCACUGUCUGUGAUCAUGGGAAGCUAAUCAGAUUUCAGUUUGUUUGGUUAUCUAUUGUACAAUAUUUUUAUAAUUAUGUAUAAUAUCUAUAAUUAUGUAUAAUAUGUUUGGCUUAAAUAUGGGAAAGGCAAAUUUAACUCUGUACUUUUUGUACACUGGGUGCAUUUAGAGCACCAGGUUGUCUAGUUUCUUAAACUAAUUCUGUUUUCUGUAUAUAGAUUUUGUUUUAUAUACAGAUGUUCAAGCACUGGACAAAAUGUCUACAUGAAACAUUUCUCGGUUACAUCAACCCAGCAUAUGUGACCGUGUAUGGAGAGAUGCCAUAUUUUGAAUAGAUGCUCGCUUCACCUCUACGCAGAAGAAAUGCUUCCACGCUGUCACUAGAUGAUUCUCACUCAUUACAAUGGCACCAUGAUGACUGUUUACAGAUUACAGAGAACCUAAUCCAACGCCUUUAUGCAACUAUUGAAUAAUUGGAACACAACUUGUGACUUUAUCCCAGUGACAUUAAGCUAGGUUCUCUCAUAGCUGUCUCUUUAAAGAUGAACAAUUAAACUUAUAUACACACGCGGUGCGCACAGGGAUAAAAGGUUAUGGCAGAAGUGCAGCAUUUUUCUUCGACUACCUUGAACGAUAAACAUGGAUGUAAUUUGGAUUUAUGACCUCUGGCUGCUAUUUUAAGUGUUGUGUUGCUGUGUGUCAAUAAAGCUUUGACUUCUCUUA